rnacentral:rRNA from 1 species
CACGGAGGAUGCGAGCGUUAUCCGGAUUUAUUGGGUUUAAAGGGUGCGUAGGCGGAUCGUUAAGUCAGUGGUCAAAUUGAGGGGCUCAACCCCUUCCCGCCAUUGAAACUGGCGAUCUUGAGUGGAAGAGACGUAUGCGGAAUGCGUGGUGUAGCGGUGAAAUGCAUAGAUAUCACGCAGAACCCCGAUUGCGAAGGCAGCAUGCCGGCUUCCGACUGACGCUGAAGCACGAAAGCGUGGGGAUCGAACAGG